UGAGUUAUGCUGGUCGCUGCAGCGGGCCUCUGCGUGGGCGGCGGGAAUCCGCGGACAUCGGGUCGGGUCCAGGCUCCCGAGUCCGCGCUCCUGGGCGGGAGCCCUUGUCUGGGUCUCCCGGGGGGCUGCCAGAUGCGUAGGCCACACUGACUAGUUCCUUCUUGUCGCUUUUUCCAGCAAAUGGCGGAUGACGCCGGUGCAGCGGGGGGGCCCGGAGGCCCUGGUGGCCCGGGGAUGGGGAACCGCGGUGGCUUCCGCGGAGGUUUCGGCAGUGGCAUCCGGGGCCGGGGUCGCGGCCGUGGACGGGGCCGGGGCCGAGGCCGCGGAGCUCGCGGAGGCAAGGCCGAGGAUAAAGAGGUAGGUAUCAGCCACGCUCGGGGUCGGGCCCCUGGGCGGCGCCGGAGAGCAGUCCUGGUCACUGGCGCCUUUUCUCCCUUUAGUGGAUGCCCGUCACCAAGUUGGGCCGGUUGGUCAAGGACAUGAAGAUCAAGUCCCUGGAAGAGAUCUAUCUCUUCUCCCUGCCCAUUAAGGAAUCAGAGAUCAUUGAUUUCUUCCUGGGGGCCUCUCUCAAGGAUGAGGUUUUGAAGAUUAUGCCAGUGCAGAAGCAGACCCGUGCCGGCCAGCGCACCAGGUUCAAGGUACCCGGCUGUCCUGGAGCGGGCUGCGCUGGGCUUGCUGGGACUCUCUCGGCUCUGCAUAGUUGCACUUGGCUUCACCCGUGUGACUUUCGUAACGGGGAGAGAGAGAAAAGAUCUCCUCAGGACCUCGGAUGGGCCUUACUGUGGCCUCUCUUUCCUUGAGGGGCGCAACAGGCCCUGGGCGGUGGGCAGUGAUUGG
rnacentral:sRNA from 1 species